rnacentral:tRNA from 1 species
GCCUGGGUGGCUCAGUCGGUUAAGCAUCUGACUUCGGCUCAGGUCAUGAUCUCAUGGCUUGUGAGUUCAAGCCCCACGUCGGGCU